CCUCUUCAGAUUUGAAAGGGAAGCUAGAAGGUUUGAACUUCUCCCUUUUUCCCAACCUUACUCAUGUUGAUCUUAGCAUUAACUCACUCUAUGGAAGUAUUCCUUCGAUAGGAAAUUUAAUAAACUUAUCUGUUCUUUACCUUUACAACAACAAACUCUCUGGUUCCAUUCCCCAAGAAAUUGGGUUAUUAAGAUCUCUUUCUAGCCUUGCAUUGUCUGACAACAAUUUCACAGGUCCAAUCCCUGCUUCAAUAGGAAAUUUGACAAACUUAUCCUUUCUUUACCUUUACAACAACAAACUCUCUAGUUCCAUUCCUCAAGAAAUUGGAUUGUUAAGAUCACUUUCUGAUCUUCAAUUGUCUUACAAUAAUUUCACAGGUCCAAUCCCGGCUUCAAUAGGAAAUAUGAUACACUUAUCCGUUC
rnacentral:lncRNA from 1 species